rnacentral:tmRNA from 1 species
GGACUGGCAAUGGGACACAGACUUAAUGAUAGAUGUCGUAAACGAAGUUAUCAAUGAAGAUGAGACAAGUACGCAAUAGGGACUUGGGUGCAAUACCCAACACCUCCACCAAAACCACUUCUAUGAAGCAUGGUGGUACCACAGAUGAAGUGGUUUUGAUGGGGGUGAUAUAGGUUUGACCGUUGUGAGAAAGUUCAUUGGAGAUAAUUCACUGGCGAGUGUAAACGUGACAAAUGCAAACUUUAACGAGUAUGCUUUAGCAGCCUAGUGUUGCUUAGGGUUUGCCUGUACCUCGUAACAGAAACAGGCACU